GACGAACGCUGGCGGCGUGCUUAACACAUGCAAGUCGAACGGAAAGGCCUCUUUCGGGGGGUACUCGAGUGGCGAACGGGUGAGUAACACGUGAGUAACCUGCCCUUGACUUUGGGAUAACUUCAGGAAACUGGGGCUAAUACCGGAUAGGAGCUCCUGCUGCAUGGUGGGGGUUGGAAAGUUUCGGCGGUUGGGGAUGGACUCGCGGCUUAUCAGCUUGUUGGUGGGGUAGUGGCUUACCAAGGCUUUGACGGGUAGCCGGCCUGAGAGGGUGACCGGCCACAUUGGGACUGAGAUACGGCCCAGACUCCUACGGGAGGCAGAAGUGGGGAAUAUUGCACAAUGGGUGGAAGCCGGAUGCAGCAACGCCGUGGGCGGGAUGACGGCCUUCGGGUUGUAAACCGCUUUCGCUCAUGACGAAGCUUUGUGUGACGGUAGUGGGUAAAGAAGCACCGGCUAACUACGUG
rnacentral:rRNA from 1 species